CCUACGGGUGGCAGCAGUGGGGAAUAUUGGGCAAUGGGCGCAAGCCUGACCCAGCAACGCCGCGUGAAGGAAGAAGGCUUUCGGGUUGUAAACUUCUUUUCUCAGGGACGAAGCAAGUGAUGGUACCUGAGGAAUAAGCCACUGCUAACUAUGCGCCAGCCGCCGCGGUAAUACGUAGGCGGCAAGAGUUCUCCGGAUUUACUGGGUGUAAAGGGCGUGUAGGCGGGGACGCAAGUCAGAUGUGAAAACCACGGGCUCAACCUGUGAACUGCAUGUGAAACUGUGUUGCUUGAGAUCAGGAGAGGCAGGCGGAAUUCCUAGUGUAGCGGUGAAAUGCGUAGAUAUUAGGAGGAACACCAGUGGCGAAGGCAGUCUACUGGACAGCAACUGACGCUGAGGCGCGAAAGCGUGGGGAGCAAACAGGAUUAGAUACCCCGGUAGUC
rnacentral:rRNA from 1 species